rnacentral:rRNA from 1 species
UACGAAGGGGGCUAGCGUUGUUCGGAUUUACUGGGCGUAAAGCGCGUGUAGGCGGGCUUUUAAGUCGGGGGUGAAAUCCCAGAGCUCAACUCUGGAACUGCCUCCGAGACUGAGAGUCUGGACCCAAGGAGAGGCGAGUGGAAUUGCGAGUGUAGAGGUGAAAUUCGUAGAUAUUCGCAGGAACACCAGUGGCGAAGGCGACUCGCUGGACUUGUGGUGACGCUGAGACGCGAAAGCGUGGGGAGCAAACAGG